AAAAGAAGAGGCUGUCAAAUUAGCCAAGGUGACUGCCUGAAACCUACACUCAAGGGCUGCACUUGUAUACCAGCAACCCUAGUAUGAGCAGGAGCAGGAGCAGGCAAGUCAUCCUUGGCUAUCAAACAACACUCUUAUCU
rnacentral:pre_miRNA from 1 species